GGAACUUUAGUUUAAUUUAGAAUAUUUCAUUUACAAUGAAAUGGUUUAAAGUUUU
rnacentral:tRNA from 1 species